rnacentral:rRNA from 1 species
UACAGAGGUCCCAAGCGUUGUUCGGAUUCACUGGGCGUAAAGGGCGCGUAGGUGGUGGGGUAAGUCGGAUGUGAAAUCUCCGAGCUCAACUCGGAAAUGGCAUUGGAAACUACCCUGCUUGAGGGUCGGAGGGGGGACUGGAAUGCUUGGUGUAGCAGUGAAAUGCGUAGAUAUCAAGCGGAACACCAGUGGCGAAGGCGAGUCCCUGGACGACUCCUGACACUGAGGCACGAAAGCUAGGGGAGCAAACAGG